CAGUCGCCGCGGUAAUACGGAGGGCGCGAGCGUUACCCGGAUUUACCGGGCGUAAAGGGCGUGUAGGCGGCCUGGGGCGUCCCAUGUGAAAGGCCACGGCUCAACCGUGGAGGAGCGUGGGAUACGCUCAGGCUAGAGGGUGGGAGAGGGUGGUGGAAUUCCCGGAGUAGCGGUGAAAUGCGCAGAUACCGGGAGGAACGCCGAUGGCGAAGGCAGCCACCUGGUCCACUUCUGACGCUGAGGCGCGAAAGCGUGGGGAGCAAACCGGAUUAGAUACCCGCGUAGUCCCUGUCUCUUAUAC
rnacentral:rRNA from 1 species